rnacentral:tRNA from 4 species
UGCGGGGUCGUCUAAUUUGGGUAGGACAGAUGCCCCUGGAGCAUCUAAUCCUGGUUCGAGUCCAGGCCCCGCAGCCA